GACUACAAUUAUAAAGAUUUCGCGAUACCGUCAGCCAUAUUAGCAUUUAUCUUCUAUUUGAGUGUCACAAACUCUACCGACCUGAUACUCGCAGAUCGGUCGGACGGUCUCUGGAACAGAAGUGCGGUCCAAGGAGUCAGGACAGAAGAAAUCUUGCUAUCUCACAUUCUUUACCAGAGUUUAAACGCACUUAUCGAUACCAUCCUGUUAAUUCUCAUAUUCUUUGUUUUAUUGAGUACGGAUUAUAAUGGAUCGAUAUUCCUCAUAUUCUUUGUCGAAUUUCUCAGCGGCUUUUGCGGAUUGAUAUUGGGUGAGUAGGUAUUCUACAUGAUUCAUAAAGAAAAGCACACAGCAGCAGUUUAGAAAUUGCAGGAGAUCAAUUAUUCAUUUUAAUACCUUAGGUUUAUUUAACUCUGUUUGGUCCAAAAAUCACGCCGUGGCGCAUUUCUUUUCGGCUGGAAGUUUUCUCCUGCUACUAAUGGUUAGCGGUAAGUCAUCAUUUUAUCUGUU
rnacentral:lncRNA from 13 species